rnacentral:lncRNA from 1 species
CUGCAAGUCCUCUGUCUUGAUAAACCGGUUCUGUCUAGGCAGUGAGCAAGGUGAAGCCAUUGGGCAGUUACAUCCCUAGUGGAACUAGAUGAUUUGUUCCUGUCUCCUUAAGGGCCACACCCUUAGCACUUUUUUUUUUAGACAGCGUCUCUCUCUUUCACCCAGACUGGAGUGCUGUGGCACAACCUUGGCUCACUGCAACCUCCGCCUCCCGGGUUCAAGCAAUUCUCGUGCCUCUGGCUCCCAAGAGGCUGAGGCAGGAGAAUCAUUUGAGCCCGGGAAGCAGAAGUUGCAGUGAGCCAAGAUUGUGCCACUGUACUCCAGCCUGGGCGAGAGUGAGACCUGUCUUAAAACAAAAACAAAACAAAACAAGUAACAAAAAGGUCUAGGCAAGAGAGCUUAUUUCAGAUUGACUUGCUGCCCGUCUUUCUCUAAACUGUCUCUCCAUUGUCAAAUAUAUUCAGACCUAAAAUUAACUGAGUCUGGGUGUAUUAUACCAGGCUCUACCACUUAUACCCAACAGUCAAU